rnacentral:tRNA from 1 species
GCUCGGGUGGCGAAAUUGGCAGACGCGCUAGACUUAGGAUCUAGUGGAGCAAUCCAUGAGGGUUCGAGUCCCUCCCCGAGCA